rnacentral:lncRNA from 1 species
AAAGGAUUAUUGCAAUGUCAUUUGGAAUGGUGUUGUUGUAAUGAAUGGAAUUCUGAGUAAUGGCAUUUACAUUUUGUCACAGCCUGUUCAUGUAAUGUAUAAAUCCAAUAAGCGUCCUAGAAUAGAUAAUGUCACGGAUGUCUACCUUUGGCAUCAUAGGCUAGGUCAUAUUAACAAGAACAGGAUGAACAGGUUAAGUAAAGAG